rnacentral:sRNA from 1 species
UCGUUAACGCCAAAAGAAUAAAUAAUGUACAAAUUGUUGUGACGCCAUGUCGCUAUGCACAAAUGAGGCAGAGCAGAAAGAGAGAUAGAGAGAGCUGUUCGACUGGAAAGCGGCCUGGAAGUGUAUCAUCCUGCUACGCCCAAAUACAUUCACAAUUAUGUUGGGUAUUCCGCGCUCAGCAACUGUGUCAAUUAACCCCAGCCCACGCCGAUUAUGUCAUAUUAUUGAUACAAA